rnacentral:misc_RNA from 1 species
CCCCCCACUCAAGUAUCCUUUUUGGGAUGUUUGGAUUGCUUUGGAGAGGUGACUUUCUAUUGGAGUCGCCCUUCAGAAAUUCAUAGGCAGUAUGGUUUGCACCUGAACCAGACGUAAUAAUAAUAAAAUCGUUUGUUUGGGUAUAAUGAAUUGUACUUGCCUCAACCCACCCAUUUUUACCUU